CGGCAACAGCUCAAAUUUGAAAUCUGGCUUCGGCCCGAGUUGUAAUUUGCAGAGGAAGCUUUGGGUGCGGUGCCAACUGAGUCCCCUGGAACGGGGCGCCAUAGAGGGUGAGAGCCCCGUAUAGUUGGACGCCAAUCCUGUGUAAAGCUCCUUCGAC
rnacentral:rRNA from 1 species